GGGAAUGUAGCUCAGUUGGUAGAGCAAAUAGCUCUUGUUUUGCUAGGGUCGGGGGUUCGAUCCCCCCCAUUUCCA